rnacentral:rRNA from 1 species
UACGUAGGGGGCUAGCGUUGUCCGGAAUCAUUGGGCGUAAAGAGCGUGUAGGCGGCCAGGUAGGUCUGCUGUGAAAACUCGAGGCUCAACCUCGAGACGUCGGCGGAAACCAUCUGGCUAGAGUCCGGAAGAGGAGAGUGGAAUUCCUGGUGUAGCGGUGAAAUGCGUAGAGAUCGGGAGGAACAUCAGUGGCGAAGGCGGCCAUCUGGGACAACACUGACGCUGAAGCACGAAAGCGUGGGGAGCGAACAGG